AAAAAAGGUAAGCUACUAAGAGCGAAUGGUGGAUGCCUUGACUGGUAAAGGCGAUGAAGGACGUACUAGACUGCGAUAAGCUACGGGGAGCUGUCAAGAAGCUUUGAUCCGUAGAUUUCCGAAUGGGGCAACCCAAUGUAUAGAGAUAUACAUUACCUAUAUAGGAGCGAACGAGGGGAAUUGAAACAUCUUAGUACCCUCAGGAAAAGAAAUCAAUAGAGAUUGCGUCAGUAGCGGCGAGCGAAAGCGCAAGAGGGCAAACCCAGUGCUUGCACUGGGGGUUGUAGGACUGCAAUGUGCAAGAGGUAAGUUUAGCAGAACAUUCUGGAAAGUAUAACCAUAGAGGGUGAUAGUCCCGUAUGCGAAAAACAAACCUUAGCUAGCAGUAUCCUGAGUAGGGCGGGACACGAGGAAUCCUGUCUGAAUCCGGGUCGACCACGAUCCAACCCUAAAUACUAAUACCAGAUCGAUAGUGCACAAGUACCGUGAGGGAAAGGUGAAAAGAACUGAGGUGAUCAGAGUGAAAUAGAACCUGAAACCAUUUGCUUACAAUCAUUCAGAGCCCUAUGUAGCAAUACAGGGUGAUGGACUGCCUUUUGCAUAAUGAGCCUGCGAGUUGUGGUGUCUGGCAAGGUUAAGCAAACGCGAAGCCGUAGCGAAAGCGAGUCUGAAUAGGGCGCUUAGUCAGAUGCUGCAGACCCGAAACGAAGUGAUCUAUCCAUGAGCAAGUUGAAGCUAGUGUAAGAACUAGUGGAGGACUGAACCCAUAGGCGUUGAAAAGCCCCGGGAUGACUUGUGGAUAGGGGUGAAAGGCCAAUCAAACUUCGUGAUAGCUGGUUCUCUCCGAAAUAUAUUUAGGUAUAGCGUUGUGUCGUAAUAUAAGGGGGUAGAGCACUGAAUGGGCUAGGGCAUACACCAAUGUACCAAACCCUAUCAAACUCCGAAUACCUUAUAUGUAAUCACAGCAGUCAGGCGGCGAGUGAUAAAAUCCGUCGUCAAGAGGGAAACAACCCAGACUACCAGCUAAGGUCCCUAAAUCUUACUUAAGUGGAAAACGAUGUGAAGUUACUUAAACAACCAGGAGGUUGGCUUAGAAGCAGCCAUCCUUUAAAGAAAGCGUAAUAGCUCACUGGUCUAGUGAUUUUGCGCGGAAAAUAUAACGGGGCUAAAGUAAGUACCGAAGCUGUAGACUUACAGUCAGGCGGCGAGUGAUAAAAUCCGUCGUCAAGAGGGAAACAACCCAGACUACCAGCUAAGGUCCCUAAAUCUUACUUAAGUGGAAAACGAUGUGAAGUUACUUAAACAACCAGGAGGUUGGCUUAGAAGCAGCCAUCCUUUAAAGAAAGCGUAAUAGCUCACUGGUCUAGUGAUUUUGCGCGGAAAAUAUAACGGGGCUAAAGUAAGUACCGAAGCUGUAGACUUGCACACAACUUAGAUUAUUUAAGUUUAGAAUAUGAGAAACUAAGUUAUAUGUUUAGUUAUAUUUUUACUGAUUUUUAUAGAGUAAAGAUAGAAAUAAAACUUAGUAAAAUCAGUAAAAAUAUUCUUAGACUAAAGUUAAGUAGUUUAAGUUGUGUGCAAGUGGUAGGAGAGCGUUCUAUUUGCGUCGAAGGUAUACCGGUAAGGAGUGCUGGAGCGAAUAGAAGUGAGCAUGCAGGCAUGAGUAGCGAUAAUUAAUGUGAGAAUCAUUAACGCCGUAAACCCAAGGUUUCCUACGCGAUGCUCGUCAUCGUAGGGUUAGUCGGGUCCUAAGUCGAGUCCGAAAGGGGUAGACGAUGGCAAAUUGGUUAAUAUUCCAAUACAAAGUGGUAGGAGAGCGUUCUAUUUGCGUCGAAGGUAUACCGGUAAGGAGUGCUGGAGCGAAUAGAAGUGAGCAUGCAGGCAUGAGUAGCGAUAAUUAAUGUGAGAAUCAUUAACGCCGUAAACCCAAGGUUUCCUACGCGAUGCUCGUCAUCGUAGGGUUAGUCGGGUCCUAAGUCGAGUCCGAAAGGGGUAGACGAUGGCAAAUUGGUUAAUAUUCCAAUACCAACAUUAGUGUGCGAUGGAAGGACGCUUAGGGCUAAGGGGGCUAGCGGAUGGAAGUGCUAGUCUAAGGUCGUAGGAGGUUAUACAGGCAAAUCCGUAUAACAAUACUCCGAGAACUGAAAGGCUUUUUGAAGUCUUCGGAUGGAUAGAAGAACCCCUGAUGCCGUCGAGCCAAGAAAAGUUUCUAAGUUUAGCUAAUGUUGCCCGUACCGUAAACCGACACAGGUGGGUGGGAUGAGUAUUCUAAGGCGCGUGGAAGAACUCUCUUUAAGGAACUCUGCAAAAUAGCACCGUAUCUUCGGUAUAAGGUGUGGUUAGCUUUGUAUUAGGAUUUACUCCGAAAGCAAGGAAACUUACAACAAAGAGUCCCUCCCGACUGUUUACCAAAAACACAGCACUCUGCUAACUCGUAAGAGGAUGUAUAGGGUGUGACGCCUGCCCGGUGCUCGAAGGUUAAUUGAUGGGGUUAGCAUUA
rnacentral:rRNA from 1 species